rnacentral:rRNA from 1 species
GUGUCGGCAGCCGCGGUAAGACAGAGGGUGCAAACGUUGUUCGGAUUUACUGGGCGUAAAGCGCGUGUAGGCGGCUUUACAAGUCGGAUGUGAAAGCCCACGGCUCAACCGUGGAAGUGCAUCCGAAACUGUAUCGCUGGAGUCCCGGAGAGGAAGGUGGAAUGCUUGGUGUAGAGGUGAAAUUCGUAGAUAUCAAGCAGAACACCUGCGGCGAAGGCGGCCUUCUGGACGGUGACUGACGCUGAGGCGCGAAAGCGUGGGGAGCAAACAGGAUUAGAUACCCCGGUAGUCC